rnacentral:rRNA from 1 species
GACGAACGCUGGCGGCGUGCUUAACACAUGCAAGUCGAACGGAAAGGCCCCUUUGGGGGUACUCGAGUGGCGAACGGGUGAGUAACACGUGAGUAACCUGCCCUUGACUUCGGGAUAACUUCAGGAAACUGGGGCUAAUACCGGAUAGGAAUCCUUGCUGCAUGGUGGGGGGUGGAAAGCUUCGGCGGUUUUGGAUGGACUCGCGGCUUAUCAGCUUGUUGGUGGGGUAGUGGCUUACCAAGGCUUCGACGGGUAGCCGGCCUGAGAGGGCGACCGGCCACAUUGGGACUGAGAUACGGCCCAGACUCCUACGGGAGGCAGCAGUGGGGAAUAUUGCACAAUGGGCGGAAGCCUGAUGCAGCAACGCCGCGUGCGGGAUGACGGCCUUCGGGUUGUAAACCGCUUUCAGCAGGGGCGAAGCUUGUGGUGACGGUACCUGCAGAAGAAGCACCGGCUAACUACGUG